UACGGGGGGAGCAAGCGUUGUUCGGAAUUACUGGGCGUAAAGCGCGUGUAGGCUGCUUCGAAAGUCGGAUGUGAAAGCCCUGGGCUCAACCUAGGAAGUGCAUUCGAAACUUCGGAGCUGGAGUCCUGGAGAGGAAGGCGGAAUUCUCGGUGUAGAGGUGAAAUUCGUAGAUAUCGAGAGGAACACCGGUGGCGAAGGCGGCCUUCUGGACAGUGACUGACGCUGAGACGCGAAAGCGUGGGGAGCAAACAGG
rnacentral:rRNA from 1 species